UGGGGAAUAUUGCACAAUGGAGGGAACUCUGAUGCAGCGACGCCGCGUGAGUGAUGAAGGACUUCGUUUCGUAAAACUCUGUUCUAUGGGAAGAAAAGGACUGUACCAUAGGAGAAAGCUCCGGCUAAAUACGUGCCAGCAGCCGCGGUAAUACGUAUGGAGCGAGCGUUGUCCGGAAUUAUUGGGCGUAAAGGGUGCGCAGGCGGCUUUACAAGUUGGAUGUGAAAUAUUGUGGCUCAACCACAAACGUGCAUCCAAAACUGCAAAGCUUGAGUUAAGGAGGGGUAGGUGGAAUUCCUGGUGUAGCGGUGGAAUGCGAAGAUAUCAGGAGGAAUACCGGUAGAGAAGGCGACUUUCUGGACUUAAACUGACGCUCAGGCACGAAAGCGUGGGGAGCAAACAGG
rnacentral:rRNA from 1 species